rnacentral:rRNA from 1 species
UCAAGCGAGCGAAAGCAAGUGGAGGAUGCCUGGGCACACGAAGGCGACGAAGGCCGCGGUAAGCUGCGAUAAGCUUGGGGGAGCGGCACACACGCGAUGAUCCCAAGAUGGCCGAAUGGGGAAACCCGGCUGUCAGCGAUGGCAGUCACUCCGGCGCAAGCCGGAGGGCAAACCAGGGGAACUGAAACAUCUAAGUACCCUGUGGAAAGAGAAAUCAACCGAGAUGCCCGAAGUAGCGGCGAGCGAAACGGGUAGAGCCCAAACCGAGGUCCUUGUGGCCGCGGGGUUGUAGGACCCACGCACGCGUAUGGAGAAGCAAGCCGAAGUCCCUUGGAACGGGGCGCCACAGACGGUGACAGCCCGGUAGGCAAACGCGAUGAACUGUACGUAGUGGAGUUCCUGAGUAACGCCCGACUCGAGUAAUCGGGCGUGAAGCUGGGGGGACCACCCUCCAAGGCUAAAGACUCUCGUGUGACCGAUAGUGAACGAGUACCGUGAGGGACAGGUGAAAAGCACCCCUGUGCGGGGAGUGAAAGAGAUCCUGAAACCACUUGCUUACAAGCGGUAGGAGGUUGGGCACGAGCUUGCUCGUGUCACGACUGACUGCGUGCCUUUUGCAUUAUGAUCCGGCGAGUUACUGCUCAGCAGCGAGGCUAAGCUGGUAUCCAGCGGAGCCACAGCGAAAGCGAGUCCUGUAACGAGGGCGCUAAGUUGCUGGGCGUACGACCCGAAGCCAGGGCGAUCUACCCAUGAGCAGGGUGAAGCUGAGGUAACACUUAGUGGAGGCCCGAACCGGUGUGGGUUGAAAACCGCUCGGAUGACUUGUGGGUAGGGGUGAAAGGUCAAUCAAGCCUGGAGAUAGCUGGUUCUCCCCGAAAUCUAUUGAGGUAGAGCCUCGAGGCGUGUUUGCAGGAGGUAGAGCGACUGGAUGGGCGCGGGCCGGCGUAGCUGGUACCAAACUCAACCAAACUCCGAAUACCUGUCAAAUGGACCUCGGGAGGCAGUCGUUGAGCGAUAAUGUCCAACGGCGAGAGGGAAAGAACCCAGAGCCACAGCUAAGGCCCCAAAGUGGCCGCUGAGUAUAGCGAAGGAUGUGUUCGUGCCGUGACAACUAGGAGGUUGGCUUAGAAGCAGCCAUUCCUUUAAAGAGUGCGUAAUAGCUCACUAGUCCAGCGUGAAUGCGCCGAGAAUGGUCGGGAUUAAGCGGCCCGCCGAAGCUUGGCCUUCUGACUUUGUCAGAGGGGUAGGGGAGCGUUCUGUACUGCCGUGAAGCGGUCGUGGAAACGAGCCGUGGAGCGUACAGAAGUGAGGAUGCCGGAAUGAGUACGCGCAAAUGCGGGUGAAAACCCCGCACACCGUAAGCCCAAGGAUUCCUGCGCCAUGGCAAUCAGCGCAGGGUGAGGCGGACCCUAAGGCGAGGCCCCAAAGGCGUAGUCGAUGGACAGCCGGUCAAAAUUCCGGCCCCGCCUGCAGCGUGUUAACAACGACAGAGGGACCCAGAAACGAAGCGCGAGCGGCCUUGUGGAUUGGCCGUUCAACAGUGUAGGGCAACCGAGACUGGAGUACGAGAGUGCGGGGCAACCCAAACUCGAGUCGCGUAGAGUCUGCUGGCAAGAAAAGCUCUGUUCGGGAAUGCUGCAGACGUCCGUACCGUAAACCGACACAGGUGGGCAAGGCGAGUAGCCUAAGGUGAACGAGUGAAACGUGGUCAAGGAACUCGGCAUAAUGAUCCCGUAACUUCGGAAGAAGGGAUGCCCUUGGAGGUAGCCGGCCUCGCGCUGGUCGCUUCGAAGGGUCGCAGUUAAUCGGCUCAAGCGACUGUUUAGCAAAAACACAGGUGUGUGCCAAGCCGCACAAGGCGCCGUAUACACACUGACGCCUGCCCGGUGCCGGAAGGUUAAGGGGAGAUGUUAGCCGCAAGGCGAAGCAUUGAGCCGAAGCCCCGGUAAACGGCGGCCGUAACUAUAACGGUCCUAAGGUAGCGAAAUUCCUUGUCGGGUAAGUUCCGACCUGCACGAAUGGCGUAACGACUUGAGCACUGUCUCGACCACGUGCUCGGCGAAAUUGCAGUCUCGGUGAGGAUUCCGAGUCCCCGCGACAGGACAA